GGGUGAAAUGAUGAUUAUAAUAUGUUUCCCUAUUGGUUUGAUCGCCGCAAUGAUGGCAAACAUAUUAGCUCUAUCUGAUCAAUC